rnacentral:rRNA from 1 species
UACGGAGGGUGCAAGCGUUAUCCGGAUUCAUUGGGUUUAAAGGGUGCGCAGGCGGAGCUUUAAGUCAGUGGUGAAAUCUCCUCGCUCAACGAGGAAACUGCCAUUGAUACUGAAGUUCUUGAAUAUGGUUGAUGUGGGCGGAAUGUGUCAUGUAGCGGUGAAAUGCUUAGAUAUGACACAGAACACCGAUCGCGAAGGCAGCUCACAAAGCCAUUAUUGACGCUCAGGCACGAAAGCGUGGGGAGCAAACAGG